AAUUUUGGACAAUGGGCGCAAGCCUGAUCCAGCCAUGCCGCGUGAGUGACGAAGGCCUUCGGGUUGUAAAGCUCUUUCGGACGGAAAGAAAUCGCGCAGGCUAAUACCCUGCGCGGAUGCCGGUACAUUCAUAAGAAGCACCGGCUAACUACGUGCCAGCAGCCGCGGUAAUACGUAGGGGGCGAGCGUUAAUUGGAAUUACUGGACGGAAAGCGUGAGCAGGCGGUUGAUGAAGGCAAGCGUGAAAGCCACAGGCUUAACCUGGGAACUGCGCUUGUGACUGGUCAGCUAGAGUACGGCAGAGGGGGGUGGAAUUCCACGUGUAGCAGUGAAAUGCGUAGAGAUGUGGAGGAACACCGAUGGCGAAGGCAGCCCCCUGGGCCGAUACUGACGCUCAUGCACGAAAGCGUGGGUAGCAAACAGG
rnacentral:rRNA from 1 species